GAGUUUGAUCCUGGCUCAGGAUGAACGCUAGCGACAGGCUUAACACAUGCAAGUCGAGGGGCAGCACAGGUAGCAAUACCGGGUGGCGACCGGCGCACGGGUGAGUAACGCGUAUGCAACUUACCUAUCAGAGGGGGAUAACCCGGCGAAAGUCGGACUAAUACCGCAUGAAGCAGGGGCCCCGCAUGGGGAUAUUUGCUAAAGAUUCAUCGCUGAUAGAUAGGCAUGCGUUCCAUUAGGCAGUUGGCGGGGUAACGGCCCGCCAAACCGACGAUGGAUAGGGGUUCUGAGAGGAAGGUCCCCCACAUUGGUACUGAGACACGGACCAAACUCCUACGGGAGGCAGCAGUGAGGAAUAUUGGUCAAUGGGCGUAAGCCUGAACCAGCCAAGUCGCGUGAGGGAUGAAGGUUCUAUGGAUCGUAAACCUCUUUUAUAAGGGAAUAAAGUGUGGGACGUGUCCUGUUUUGUAUGUACCUUAUGAAUAAGGAUCG
rnacentral:rRNA from 1 species